UUUCUUCAGUCUUGGGACUUCCAUCUUUCAACUGACAGCACACUGUGUUGAUAUCACAACAGAGAGUCAAGCCACCGCGCUUGUUUAUAUCAUAUACGCAUGCGCGCACGUCUCGCGAGAUCUUCCUUAUAACAAUAACCUCGCAUGUGAUUGGAGGAGCCAGACGAGAUUGUCGCCUUCGUCCAAUCACGUGCGAGGUCACGGCCUAUGACUCGUCAUACAGCGGUACAAGACGAGCAUAUAACAGACACAGUUUGGUGUUUGACUCAAACAUUUUUCUACAUUUCCUGUGUUUUUGCUACUUUGCGCUUUCGUGAGAUCUACAAUGGCAGGACGGCGUCUAGCCUUCAGCUCUCCUUCAACUCCGCUGCAUGGACGCGACCAACCCCUUUCAUCCAGUCCGCUGACCGAUGAGAAGAAACUGCUGAAUGCUUUGAGUGGACUGUCUCGUCAGCUUACUCUGCUUACUUCCAAUGUGAAUGAGCAGUUUGCCAAUGUGAAUGGGCAGUUUGCCGCAGUAAACUCCAGGUUGCUGACCAUUGAGGAUAGGUUGGCUGCUUUGGAGUCGAAAAACUGUAACGGUACUGUGGAAGAAAAUAACUCCAAUAAGAGAAGACUGGUGCACAAUCCCAAGAUUGCGGUAAGAAUAACUUUAUGUAUAAGCAUAUUUUUUUAAGUAGCCCAAGCUAAAAGUAACGUUAGCAGAACCAGUGUGUGUUUUAUAACUUGGAGGUGUUUUUUGUCUUGUAAUUUUCAGGAGGCUGUACGGCAUCUUCAUAACUCUGAGGCAAACUGCAGGCGCUAUGAACCAGAGCAAGGGUAUGUAACGUUAUGAUUUAAAGAAUGUUUUUUCUUGUAUAAGGAAAUAGAUACGUUGAUAGAUCUGAGCUUAAACCCGCACAUUUUGUUUCCACAGACUAACGUCGCCUCACAACGAAGCCGUGACCUCCUAUUUGCUUGGGGCUAUUUCAGCAAGUCCCGAUUUAACUGCUGAGAGUGACGACAUUGUUUCUGCCUGUAAGACGUAUUAUGAGUCGGUACGCCGGAGCUUCAGAUACAAACAACCUGAACUCGCAUCGCGGGCGGAAAAUGUGAAACGUUUAGCUCGGAGUCGAUCCAGAAGAAAAAGGUUGCUGGAAGCGAGACGAAGUGUGCUGGCUGAGGAUGAGAUGGAAAUUUGGAGGUGCGCCACCAUAGAUCUCAUGUCUGAUGAGGAAGACCGUAUUGUUGACGGGGUGUCUGGGUGGAUUGUGCAGCCACCGCCCUCUCGCAGCCUUGAACUCUCCGAGCUCUGUGCAACGCUGCAAUCCAGAUUAGAGGCGACACCAAAAUACAGGGAAACUCACCAUAUACGCCUGCAAAACUGACACUUUUCCCCAACGUUUUAGAGUUGUUGUUUUUCUUGGGCAACUCGCCAUAUGCGCCUGCAAAAGUGACUCUUUUUUUCAACGUUUUUGAGGAUUUUGAGGAACACUUGAUCACUUUAAAAAAGUUUUUUAGGGAUCUUUCCCGAAUGUCUCGCACUUUUUGACGUGUUUGGAGAACAUGAGAGACAUUAUGCUGCUUUGUACAUAGUUGUGUGUUUACAAUUAAAGCUCUUUCUUUGACUUAAUAGAUGUGUGUUUAUAAAUAAAGCUCUUUCUUUGAAUAAACAGCUGUGUGUUUAUAAAUAAACCUCUUUGUUUUCUCUUAUAUUCCUUGAUGGUGUGAAUAGUGUAGUACAUAGCACAAUGAAAUUAAUAUAUAAUAAAUUAUUAUAACAUAAAUUA